UGGUCAAGCUACUAAGGGCACACGGUGGAUGCCUUGGCGCGAGAAGGCGAUGAAGGACGUGGCUAGCUGCGAUAAGCUUCGGGGAGCCGCUAAGCAGGCUUUGAUCCGGAGAUUUCCGAAUGGGGAAACCCGGCACCGGCAAUACGGUGUCAUCCCGACGUGAAUUCAUAGCGUCGUGGAAGCGAACGGGGGGAAGUGAAACAUCUCAGUACCCCUAGGAAGAGAAAUCAACUAGAGAUUCCCCCAGUAGCGGCGAGCGAACGGGGAAGAGCCCAAACCAGGUUUAGCAAUAAACCUGGGGUUGUGGGGCUGCUUCAGGGUGUAGCCCGGAGAGUUAUCAAAUCAGCUCAUAGGUGAAGGCUCCUGGAAAGGACAACCAUAGAGGGUGAUAGUCCCGUAACCGAAAUGAGUCUGGUCUCUCUGGAAGCAGUUCCCGAGUACCGCGGGACACGUGUAAUCCCGUGGGAAGCCGGGAGGACCAUCUCCCAAGGCUAAAUACUCACUCGCGACCGACAGUGAACUAGUACCGUGAGGGAAAGGUGAAAAGAACCCCGGUGAGGGGAGUGAAAUAGUACCUGAAACCGUGUGCCUACAAGCAGUGGAAGGGCUAUGAUGCGUGGUUCGCCACGUGACAGCCUGACCGCGUGCCUUUUGCUUAAUGAGUCUGCGAGUUACUCUGUGCAGCAAGGUUAAGCCGAUGAGGCGGAGCCGCAGCGAAAGCGAGUCUGAAUAGGGCGUUUAGUUGCACGGAGUAGACCCGAAGCGGGAUGAUCUACCCAUGGUCAGGGUAAAGCGGCAGUAAAAUGCCGUGGAGGCCCGAACCGGUGAAGGUUGAAAACUUCUCGGAUGAACUGUGGGUAGGGGUGAAAGGCUAAUCAAAUUCCGUGAUAGCUGGUUCUCCCCGAAAAAUAUUUAGGUAUUGCCUCGAAUGUUUGCCAGCGGAGGUAGAGCACUGGAUGGGCUAGGGCCCUUACCGGGGUACCAAACCUAACCAAACUCCGAAUGCCGCUGAGCA
rnacentral:rRNA from 1 species